rnacentral:rRNA from 1 species
GUUUGAUCAUGGCUCAGAUUGAACGCUGGCGGCAGGCUUAACACAUGCAAGUCGAGCGGGGGAAGGUAGCUUGCUACUGGACCUAGCGGCGGACGGGUGAGUAAUGCUUAGGAAUCUGCCUAUUAGUGGGGGACAACAUCUCGAAAGGGAUGCUAAUACCGCAUACGUCCUACGGGAGAAAGCAGGGGAUCUUCGGACCUUGCGCUAAUAGAUGAGCCUAAGUCGGAUUAGCUAGUUGGUGGGGUAAAGGCCUACCAAGGCGACGAUCUGUAGCGGGUCUGAGAGGAUGAUCCGCCACACUGGGACUGAGACACGGCCCAGACUCCUACGGGAGGCAGCAGUGGG